GCCUACGGGGCGCAGCAGUGGGGAAUAUUGCACAAUGGGGGAAACCCUGAUGCAGCGACGCCGCGUGAGCGAAGAAGUAUUUCGGUAUGUAAAGCUCUAUCAGCAGGGAAGAAAAUGACGGUACCUGAGUAAGAAGCUCCGGCUAAAUACGUGCCAGCAGCCGCGGUAAUACGUAUGGAGCAAGCGUUAUCCGGAUUUACUGGGCGUAAAGGGAGCGUAGGCGGCCUGCCAAGUCUGAUGUGAAAUACCGGGGCUCAACCCCGGGGCUGCAUUGGAAACUGGCGGCCUCGAGUGGGCGAGAAGUA
rnacentral:rRNA from 1 species